AUAUGGGAUAUGGAGCUUAUCCAGAGAGCUUUAGGUGUGGGAUAAUGUGAGAAAAGAUAGAAAAAAAUCUGGAGAGAAAAAGAUAGGAAAAGGGAGAGAAAAAUGGAAAGGAAGGGAAGAGAAAAUGGAAAGCAUGUGAUGCUUGUCCUAAAAUCAAAUUGUUCAAGUGUUGAACAUCUAAUCUAAUUUUUAUAUGGUGAGAUCAUUUGAGAAAUAGUUUCUAGAGUGGUCCUAGUGGAGGUCUUAAAGAUAUAUAAGUAAUAAUGCAACCUAUUCUUAUGAAGGACGAUCGAUAGCGAACUUACGAAGAAGGCUGCAGCACUAUGUC
rnacentral:lncRNA from 1 species